GCGGCGAGGCGGGCUCUGGGUCCUCACCCGGCCAGGCCGAGCUUAGUAUGUGGAGGCGGCAGCGGGAGUGCGGGCAUGGACCAAGGGAAGGGGGACACCCAAACCGUACUGGUGCUUUCCUUUCCCUCCACUCGCGCCGUAGCCCUCCCCAAAUUGCCCGUCUCCGGUAUGACUGAAUCUGUCUGCUGGCCUCUCAGCUACCAACUUUGCCCGAAAUCUAGAUCCCAGACCUGCUCCUGGGAAGUUCUAGGAUGUGACUUUAAACUGGAAUGACUCUCAGGAGCUAGGUUUGAUAUGGCACAAUCUCAAGGCAUUGCUAAGUCUGAAGUUCUUCCAGCAGGUCUGUAAACCACAAAGGACAAGCAGCUCAGAGAUUAGCGAAUGCGUCUCAGCUGUCCUAGAAAAGUGCUGUCAGCAAGUCUGAAGAGUUUCCCAGAAGCCCUGAAAGGACGCAAUAGCAUCGUUUAGCAGAAAGAAACAGCCCUGGAUUAAUGUUCUUUUGGGAUCCAUCUUCUGGCUUUGUGAUUUUAGGCAAGUUACUUAUCUUCCUCCAUUUAUUCACAUAUAUAAUGAGAGGAGUAAUACCUACCUUACAAACUUUUCUGUGAGAAGCAAAAAAAUAAAAAAUAAUAAAAAAUAAAAUUGUUAAAUAUUUGCUAUGUGUAAAAUGCUUAUUCCUUUAAAGUUUUCAUGUCAGUUAAAACAUGUUAUUGGCUUGAAUCCUGAUAAAAACAUGUUAUUGGCUUGAAUCCUGACUCAAGAAUGGAAAUAGUAAUUGUGCCUGCCAUUCAGGGUGGCACAGUUAUUUCCAUUGGUUCAGGGUGGUGGGGUGGGAGCUACUAGAUAGAACAGGUGGGGCAAUUCUUGAUACAUUUUAGUGUUUUUUGUUACUACUAAUCCACCAACUCUUGUUUUCACUCAGAAGCACAUAAAAUGGACAUAUUUAUUAUAGACUGAAAAAAUCAUAAAUGAGAUUAAUUUUAAAAAUAAAAUGAAAAGGAGAAUAAUUGUUUAUGAAUGUAUGGUUUAUAAGUUCUCAAUGUAUGAUUUAUAAGUUCUGCAUGUAUGCA
rnacentral:sRNA from 1 species